GAUGAACGCUAGCGGUAUGCUUAACACAUGCAAGUCGUACGGGAGUUUUUAACUCAAGUGGCGGACGGGUGAGUAACACGUGAGAAUUUACCUUUAGGAGGGGGAUAACAAUUGGAAACGAUUGCUAAUACCCCCAUAUGCUUUUUUAAGUGAAACGGAUUUAUUCGCCUAAAGAAAAGCUCGCGGCUGAUUAGCUAGUUGGUAAGGUAAUGGCUUACCAAGGCGACGAUCAGUAUCUGGUUUGAGAGGAUGAUCAGACACACUGGAACUGAGACACGGUCCAGACUCCUACGGGAGGCAGCAGUGGGGAAUUUUCCGCAAUGGGCGAAAGCCUGACGGAGCAAUACCGCGUGAGGGAAGAAAGCCUACUGGGUUGUAAACCUCUUUUUUCUAGGGAGGAAAAGAAUGACGUGUACCUGAAGAAUAAGACAUCGGCUAACUCCGUGCCAGCAGCCGCGGUAAUGUGACUACUG
rnacentral:rRNA from 1 species